AUUGAACGCUGGCGGCAUGCCUUACACAUGCAAGUCGAACGGUAACGCAGGGCAACCUGGCGACGAGUGGCGAACGGGUGAGUAAUGCAUCGGAACGUGCCCAGUAGUGGGGGAUAGCCCGGCGAAAGCCGGAUUAAUACCGCAUACGACCUACGGGUGAAAGGGGGGGAUCGCAAGACCUCUCGCUAUUGGAUCGGCCGAUGUCAGAUUAGGGAGUUGGUGGGGUAAAGGCCUACCAAGCCGACGAUCUGUAGCUGGUAUGAGAGGACGACCAGCCACACUGGGACUGGGACACGGCCCAGACUCCUACGGGAGGCAGCAGUGGGGAAUUUUGGACAAUGGGCGCAAGCCUGAUCCAGCCAUGCCGCGUGCGGGAAGAAGGCCUUCGGGUUGUAAACCGCUUUUGUCAGGGAAGAAAUCUUCUGGGUUAAUACCUCGGGAGGAUGACGGUACCUGAAGAAUAAGCACCGGCUAACUACGUGCCAGCAGCCGCCGUAACAC
rnacentral:rRNA from 1 species